rnacentral:sRNA from 1 species
ACGGUACCCUGGAAGAUUUCCUCACAGUUAUCGAGUAUAUCCGUCAUUGCUCUUGCAACAUCGCAGAAUUCCGUUUCUAGGAGUUGAGAUUUGAGCUCCUGAAUUUUGAGAAUUCGGCACUCCACGUCCAAAGACUGUACAUCUGAUACAGAUCCUAAAUACUGUUCGGCUUUGUUCACGUACUCUUUCAUCCAUAAGUGAUACUUGUUAAAGUGUUCUUGCUGUGAGAAAUGUCACGGUUGCGUAUUUUAGGAGGCUGGAAUAGCAGUUUGGGGUCGAGGAAGUCUAUGUCUGGC